rnacentral:rRNA from 1 species
AUUGAACGCUGGCGGCAGGCCUAACACAUGCAAGUCGAACGGUAGCACAGAGGAGCUUGCUCCUUGGGUGACGAGUGGCGGACGGGUGAGUAAUGUCUGGGAAACUGCCCGAUGGAGGGGGAUAACUACUGGGAACGGUAGCUAAUACCGCAUAACGUCGCAAGACCAAAGAGGGGGACCUUCGGGCCUCUUGCCAUCGGAUGUGCCCAGAUGGGAUUAGCUAGUAGGUGGGGUAACGGCUCACCUAGGCGACGAUCCCUAGCUGGUCUGAGAGGAUGACCAGCCACACUGGAACAGAGACACAGUCCAGACUCCUACGGGAGGCAGCAGUGGGGAAUAUUGCACAAUGGGCGCAAGCCUGAUGCAGCCAUGCCGCGUGUAUGAAGAAGGCCUUCGGGUUGUAAAGUACUUUCAGCGAGGAGGAAGGUGUUGUGGUUAAUAACCACAGCAAUUGACGUUACUCGCAGAAGAAGCACCGGCUAACUCCGUGCCAGCCGCCGCAGUAA